UUCGCAAUGCCCGAAAGGGUGACGAAGCGACGCCGCGUGUGGGAAGAAGGCCUUCGGGUUGUAAACCACUGUCGGGAGUUAAGAAAUGCAAGAAUGUUAAUAGCGUUUUUGCUUGACUAAGGCUCCGGAGGAAGCCACGGCUAACUCUGUGCCAGCAGCCGCGGUAAUACAGAGGCGGCAAGCGUUGUCCGGAAUUAUUGGGCGUAAAGAGCACGUAGGCGGCUAUAUAAGUCGGUUGUGAAAGCCUUCCGCUCAACGGGAGAACAGCAUCCGAUACUGUGUGGCUUGAGUGUGGGAGGGGAGAGCGGAACUUCUGGUGGAGCGGUGAAAUGCGUAGAUAUCAGAAGGAACGCCGGCGGCGAAAGCGGCUCUCUGGCCCAUAACUGACGCUGAGUGUGCGAAAGCUAGGGGAGCAAACGGGAUUAGAUACCCCGGUAGUCCUAGCCGUAAACGAUGGGCACUAAGUAGAGGGGUUU
rnacentral:rRNA from 1 species